AUACUCACUUUGGCAGCACAUAUACUAAAAUUGAAAUGAUACAGAGAAGAUUAGUGUGGACCCUAUGUGAAGAUGACAUGCAAAUUCACGGUAUUUUAUAUUUUUAU
ensembl:snRNA U6 U6 spliceosomal RNA